UACGUAGGAUGCAAGCGUUGUCCGGAAUUAUUGGGCGUAAAGAGCGCGCAGGCGGUAACUCAAGUCAGAUGUGAAAUAUCCGGGCUUAACCCGGAGGGGCCAUUUGAAACUGAGUAACUAGAGUACAGCAGAGGAUAGCGGAAUUCCCGGUGUAGUGGUGAAAUGCGUAGAUAUCGGGAGGAACACCAGUGGCGAAGGCGGCUAUCUGGGCUGAAACUGACGCUGAGGCGCGAAGGCUAGGGGAGCAAACAGG
rnacentral:rRNA from 1 species